UCACUGAUGGCGUAGUGGUACACGCGCCCGCCUUUGGUGCGGGCGGCGCGGGAUCGAUUCCCGCUCAGUGAU